AACAUCGCGCACCUGCGGGAACCUGCGGAAGGAUCAUUACUGAGUCACGUGCUCAAACAACCCUUCUGUGGACCUGAAAUAAAACCGUUGCCUCGGCGGGCGGUCCCCCCCAAACCAACCCCACGUGGUGGGUUAGGGGAGACCAGACAGUCCGGUACGCUUAAGGCGUCCGGCGCCAGCCGCUGGCCCCAAACAAUUAAACUCUAGUAAUCUUUACCUUCUGAGUUUCAAUAUUUAGAA
rnacentral:misc_RNA from 1 species